GUGCACGUAGUUUAAACGGAAAAACAACUGCCUGAUAAGCAGUAGAUGAGGUUCGAGUCCUUGCCGUGCACU
rnacentral:tRNA from 1 species